CAUGCUUUGUCUCAAGACUAAGCCAUGCAUGUGCAAGUAUGAACGCAUCUGCACCGUGAAACUGCGAAUGGCUCAUUAAAUCAGUUAUAGUUUAUUUGAUGGUGCCCCACUACAUGGAUAACCGUGGUAAUUCUAGAGCUAAUACAUGCAGAAGGUCCCGACUGCUUGGAAGGGAUGUAUUUAUUAGAUCCAAAACCAAUGCCGGGGUUCGCCCCGGGAAGCUGGUGAUUCAUGGUAACUGCUCGAAUCGCAUGGCCUUCGCGCCGGCGAUGAUUCAUUCAAGUUUCUGCCCUAUCAACUUUCGAUGGUAGGGUAUUGGCCUACCAUGGUCGCAACGGGUGACGGAGAAUUAGGGUUCGAUUCCGGAGAGGGAGCCUGAGAAACGGCUACCACAUCCAAGGAAGGCAGCAGGCGCGCAAAUUACCCAAUCCCGACUC
rnacentral:rRNA from 1 species